CAGAGAAAACAGGAUGAAUCCGGGGAUGGAUACGGCGAAUGCCGUGUAUCGAAAAUUGCGCAGCAAUUUGAGAGACCGCAUGGCGGAGUAAAACAGGAUUCUGUGUAUUGCUCAUUGUUAACGUAAGGGUGGAAUGGCAGUGUAAGAGACUACCGCCCGGCUGGUAACAGUCGGGGCACAUGUAAACCCCAUCCGAAGCAAGACCGAAACAAAGCGUUGACGUGGCCCGCCAGCUUUAGGUAGGUCGCUUGAGGUAACUGGCAACAGUUAUCCUGGAUAGAUGAUCAUUCACGACAUAACCCGGCUUA
rnacentral:RNase_P_RNA from 1 species